GUGGGUACAGAGGCAGCGGCAGGGCCAGGGCGCUGGGCUGCCCCGUCCACACCCACCUGGGUCACAGCCUGCUGCCCCCCCGCGAAGGCAGCGGUGGACACGACGCUGACGGCGCCGGCCGCGUCGCCCUGGCCGUCCAGCUGACCAUCAGUCACCUGGACUACGCGGGCCAAAUUCUGCAAAAGGAGAAAAGAAAAAGUGUUAACUGUACGGGCUGGAGGAAGAGGCGUCCUGAAGAUCUGAAGUCAAAGGGUCUAGGCUCACCUUUUUCAUCCUGCGC
ensembl:antisense Gm17077 predicted gene 17077